CACUGGAGUGGGUUGCCAUUUCCUUCUCCAGUGCAUGAAAGUGAAAAGUGAAAAUGAAAUCGCUCAGUCAUGGCCUACCCUUCUGCCCCUCCCACCACUCCUCUCAGCCCACAUCCCAACUUCAAGGAGCCGAGGUCCUCUCAAAGCAAAGUGAAAAGCACUGGCUUGUACUUUAAUUAACAGCAUAAAACCUAGGAUUAGGCAAAGCAGGGAUGUGGGACACUUGCCCAUGAGAGAUCAAAUUUCCUCUAGAAUCAAACGGGUGGAGAACUGCCAAGUUUGGAAAUGGACUAAAUUACAAAGCCCAACCUCCCUUUCCUCCAGCCUCUGGAAAGAAAACUCAAAAGACUUAAAUGAAUAGAGGGCUUCUCUGGUGGCUCAGACAGUAAAGAAUCUGCCUGCAAUGCAGGAGACCUGGGUUUGAUCCUUGGUCGAGAAGAUCCCCUGGAGAAGGAAUGGCUCCCCACUCCAGUAUUCUUGCCUGGAGAAUCCCCAUGGACAGAGGAGCCUUGUGGGCUCCAGCCAAUGGGGUCGCAAAGAGUCGUGACUGAGUGACUUAACACUUUCACUUUAAGUGAACAGAUGGGCCACACUUAAGAGUUUCUGUGAGAAGCCUUCACCUUCUAAGCAGGCUUUCUGCAGGUGUGCAUGCGUGUGUGCAAGCAGCUUAUUUGUCUCUCGUGAGUGUCUCGGCACCGUGGCUGGCCUUUGCAGGGCAGGAAAAUAAGAGAUGGAGUCACCUGCUCCCCAGUUCCCGAGCACACAGCUGGGGUGGGCCCCACACUCACACUUUUCGACUUUCAUCCGCCGACUCCACGAAGGCCACGUUCAGUCUCUGCUCAGUGUACUCCUGCAGGAGAUCUUCCUCGCAGCCAGCAUCUUCAGAGGGUUUUGGAAGCCUGGACCCGGCGCUUGGGCCGCACGGCACGCUUGUGCUCAGCCACCGAGGAUGUCAACCUAUGGGGCAGAGCAGAGCUGCUGUGGCCAGGGCUGCAGUCUCACCCACGCUCAGGGGCUUGCAGGUCUCUGGCCUGGAGCACCCAGCUCCACAGUUUUAUUUCUCCAUUGCAUUAUAAAUCUUACAGCGCCUCCUCCUCCUCCCGCCACUCCACCGAUGGAGUCAGAGGAUCUUGGAAGGUUGAAGCCCAUUUGGGUCAAGAUCCCAGCCAAUCCUAGGAGCCUUGCUCUCACCAUGCCCUGGGACUUCACCUAG
rnacentral:lncRNA from 1 species